CCUACGGGAGGCAGCAGUGAGGAAUAUUGGUCAAUGGACGGAAGUCUGAACCAGCCAAGCCGCGUGCAGGAUGACUGCCCUAUGGGUUGUAAACUUCUUUUGUAUAAGGGUAAAAUGUUAUACGUGUAUUCAUCUGUAUGUACCAUAUGAAUAAGGAUCGGCUAACUCCGUGCCAGCAGCCGCGGUAAUACGGAGGAUCCGAGCGUUAUCCGGAUUUAUUGGGUUUAAAGGGUGCGUAGGUGGAUUGAUAAGUUAGUUGUGAAAGGUUGGGGCUUAACCGGAAAAUUGCAUUUGAUACUGGUAGUCUUGAGUACAGUAGCGGUAGGCGGAAUUCGUGGUGUAGCGGUGAAAUGCUUAGAUAUCACGAAGAACUCCGAUUGCGAAGGCAGCUUAC
rnacentral:rRNA from 1 species